rnacentral:tRNA from 1 species
GGAAUUGUGGCUUAGUGAUAGAGUACUCACCUGGCGCGUGUGAGGUCCUGGGUUCGAUCCUCAGCACCU